UACAGAGGUGGCAAGCGUUGUUCGGAAUUACUGGGCGUAAAGGGCGCGUAGGCGGCCUUGUAAGUCCCGUGUGAAAUCCCUCGGCUCAACUGAGGAACUGCACGGGAAACUGCUUGGCUUGAGUUCGGGAGAGGGAAGCGGAAUUCCGGGUGUAGCGGUGAAAUGCGUAGAGAUCUGCAAGAAUACCCGUGGCGAAGGCGGCCAGCUGGGCCGGUUCUGACGCUGAGGCGCGAAAGCGUGGGGAGCAAACAGGG
rnacentral:rRNA from 1 species